AAACCUGAGAAACCCGAAAGAUCGAAUGGGAAGAUUCAGCGUCAGCGGCGCUUGCUAGGCGGAUCGUGCGUCGUCUCGGACUUCUGUCUUGAGACUCGUAUUCUUUCCAUGCCUUGUUUGGCGUCGUCGUCGUGCACUUCUUCCUUAGUAGAACGUCGCGACCCGUUGGGUGUCGGUAUACGGUCCGAGCGGUAGACUGCCGCGUCGCUUCGGCGUACGCGGCAGACCCUCGGUCACCUGACCGGCUGCCCGGCGGUCGAACUUAUAAGGUAUCUUGCCGCAAUUAUCGAACGUGCGUCGGGCCCGUCGCAAGCGAGGCCAGUAUUUAUCGGAGUUACGGACCCGGUGCCGUACCCGUAACUGGCCAGCUGUUUGCAGACGGAGUCCUUUGACGGGCAAUACACAAUGAUACCGGUCUGCGACGCUACUGCUUUGGGUACUCUCAGGACCCGUCUUGAAACACGGACCAAGGAGUCUAACAUGUGCGCGAGUCAUUGGGACCGCGAAGCCUAAAGGCAUAAUGAAAGUGAAGGUCGUACUCUAAGGUCGACCGAGGGAGGAUGGGCCGCGUUUACGCGUUGCUCCGCACUCCCGGGGCGUCUCGCUCUCAUUGCGAGAAGAGGCGCACCCAGAGCGUACACGUUGGGACCCGAAAGAUGGUGAACUAUGCCUGGUCAGGACGAAGUCAGGGGAAACCCUGAUGGAGGUCCGUAGCGAUUCUGACGUGCAAAUCGAUCGUCGGAACUGGGUAUAGGGGCGAAAGACUAAUCGAACCAUC
rnacentral:rRNA from 1 species